GACCAUUACUUGUGGUGGUCGACACAGUGCUGUAGUUACAGACACAGGAGUGCUACUUACUUUUGGCUGGGGGCUUUAUGGCCAGGAACUUUGUAAAAG